UCGUUGCGCGGCGGACCUACUCCCGCGCCGCUGCGGCGUUCCAACGGCCACGCGCACUACGGCGCGUACAAACGAACAGUCGUUAACGGUAAAAGGCGCGUACUUUAUUAAUAAUGACGUGUCUAAUAAAACGUAGCCGUACCGCGACGUCCUACUGGGCGUCGAUCGGCGAGACCGCGGACGAACAACCCGCGCGACCGGCACUGUACGGAUAACGCGUGCGACAAACGGUUUUCGCGCGACGACGACGCGACCACAGUGGCGGCGGCACGACGACGACGGGACGUGUCGUAAAUAGGUCGGCGGCGGCAACCCAAGACGAUGGGGUCGUACGGUGACUGCGGCGGCGGCGGCGGUGUAGUCGUAGAACGAUCGUGAUGAUGGUGGCCGCUGCAGUGACGACGAUACCGUAGACAGUAAUAGUGGUAGUCGGUUUUCCUACCGCUCGGAUACGCACGCGGCGGCGGCGGCGGCAGCGGCGGCGGCGGCGACGACGACGACGACGACGUUUUCCCUGUCAUUCACAUACGACCGUGUUGCUCACUUACGUCAUAGGGCCCCCCGAGUAUCGAUCUUCGUCGUCGACGGCGGCGGAGGCGGCGGUGGUGGUAGUAGUAGUGGUAGUAUAGUGACGGUGGUGGCGGCGGCGAUGGCGCCGCUCUCUCACUCUGAAUGGGACACGCCGCGAAACGAGCGUCACGCGCAAGCGUAUUAUAAUUUUAUACCAUAUACGUACACGGCGUGCUACACGACUGGCGGCGGCGGCGGCAGAUGCUUCGGCGCGGUCGCGAUUUAUACGACGAGGUGGUGUAUUUCUCGCGAGCUUGUGUCUGUGUGUAAGUCUAUAAGCGUGCGCGCGCGUGUGUGUGUGUGUGUAUUUUUGUGUGUGUGUGUGUGUGCGCGCGCGUGUGUAUGCGCGCACGUUUCGUAGACUACGGACACCACUACGACGACCACGAAAACGACGGUGGCGGCGGCGGCGGCGGGCGUGUUUGCCGAUCGACGUACACCAACGCACUGACGCCCUGAAAGCUCCGUCUGUCCGUAUAUAUAUAUACGUAUGUACCGCCAACUCCGCCCGCGCGUACACCGUUCGUCCAUAAUAUACAGGGUCUUGCAAAUUUCAUACGACACUUAUAUAUUUAUUUCUGCACUGUGAAACAAGUAUUUAUAGUUGGUAUUUUUUUUUUUUGUUUUUUUUUUUUUCAAAAAUACCUCCGCGAAAACUUUUCGGGUAUCAUAAUAAUGUUCUGACGACGAUGCACCGUCGAAAUUUUAAAACAAUUCAAACGGCCACCUACAGCCGAUCGUAUUGAAAAUCCCGUACAACAGACGGCGGGAAGUUUUAAUUGAAAAAAAUUUCGAUAUGGAAACAAUACUAUAACGCCGAUUUCCGUUGAAAAACCAUCGUCGCGCCGAUUGCGAUUGGCGAGAUUCGCAGCUUUUUUUUUUUUUUAAAUUCGGUCGUUAUUUCGGUAAUCGUUGAUCGAGAAAAUGUGUCUUCCGGAGCGAGGCGAUCGGCGUCCAGUCACGAGUUAUUCAGCUCCACUAUGCUAACCUUAUCGCUGUACGCCUGCGAAAUUACCGGGCCGAAAACGACAUCACGUCUCGCCGGGAUCGACGCAACCGCGCGACGGUUUAAGUUUCCCGGUCGAGUUUCCCAUUAUUAUUAUUUUUCGUUUUUUUUUCGGCGACGAAUGAAAUAUCAUAGAAAAUUCGUUACGAAUAUCGCAUUCGGAUGUUCGUGUACGGUUCUAAGAAUUUUCCCCGGAUGUUUUACCGAACAACAUAUAAUGUUAAAAUCACGGUAUAAUUUAAUACAGCGAAAUCUGGCGUCGCCACAAAAUGUGCAAUACCCUGUAUAUAAUGUGUAUAUAAUAAAUAUAUAUAUAUAUAUAUAUUAUAUUAUAUUGUAGUCGUCGGCGUCGUAUUAUGUAUACGCCUCCGCGCCUAGCGGAAAACGCGAAAACCAGCGGCGGCGUUCUUGCCGGCGUCGAAGGCACCGACGACGGCGGAGAACGGAAAAAAAUAAAAUAAAAUAAAAAAAGAUGACUGGAAAUUAAUAUCGGCGUCGCGUCGUUUGUUCCAUCGUCCUCGCUGAGAGUUGCCGCCUCCGCGUAAUUAUAUUGCGUCCAUUAUACGCCACAUCGCACAAUAAAAACGGUUUCCGAACGCGGCGAAUAUUAACGAUAAUAUAUUGUGCCCCUUUCCGCCCCGCCACCCGGGAGCCCACCCCGUGUUCUUCGGCCCAUUCGACUGGCGGUCGGUUUCCCGAAAACGUCUUGAGAGAAAAAAAAACAACGACGCACUGGUAACGCUCGAGUCCGGCGCGGUAGGCAUUGAAAAAAUUAGGAGGGUAUAAAGACUAUAACACGAGACUGAAGCAAAAACUAGAUUCCCGCGCAAUUAUCGAACUCAACCUAACCAAACGUGGGGAGGGGGUUCGCCUCCCCUACCAUUCGCCUGCUGUAUUCCAAUUUUUCUGUCUGUAAACCACGCGCGCGGUUUUUUUUUUACUAAAAAACUUUGCUCCGAUCAUCGAAUUGCGAUUUUCUCAUUAACGAAUAAGAUACUAAGAGACGAAUUAUAAUUCUAUAAACGUUUGAAAAAUAUACACAAUUUAUUAUUGUUUAAUUAUUUAUUAAGGAAGUUAUGUUUUGAUAAGUCAUAAAAUUAACUUAGUUCGCCUAUUUUUAGUUUAUACUCGCUGAAUUCAGACUAUGCUUUUAAAAGAUAUUAUAAUAAUCGUUCAAUGUAUUUAGAUUUAAAUUUUAAAUGCAUUUAUUUUGUUUAAAAAAAAAAAAAAAAAAUGAGAAAACAGAAAAAACAUUGAGAAAACUAGAAUAUUUACACGAUAACGGUUUUUGUGAUAUUCGACUUACAAAUUGAUGUACUCAUUUUAAAGUUAAGAAAAUCGACCAUUAAAAAAUAGUAUUAUAAUUUAUCGGUAGAGAAAAUUCCUUUUAAAAGUGAAUUCGUUCCCGUUCCUCGUCCUUUUUUGAAAAAAGAAACUUGACCCAGUUACCCUUGUUCCUUUAUUUUUAUUUCUUAACACCUAAAACAGACCAAAAUAAUUUUUAUAUUCUUAAUUUAAAAAUAUCACUAUUUAAUCGGCUUUGGAAACACAUACAUACAUUUAAUAUUAAAGGUUUUGGUGAGUUAUUCAUAAGUCACUAGUGUAAAUACCUAAUUUUCAUAAAACACUCAAAGAAACACGUCGACGUGGACAGACAAUUUCACUAUCAUUUAUCAUUAUCAAAUGUGUUAUAACGUUGCUUAUUAUCAUUUCAAAUCAUAGUCACCAAAAAAUCGUUUAUAUUAUAAGUAUACAAUCAUAGUAUGUAAUAUUAAUAUUAUCAUAUUAUGUGUAUGUUAAUAUGAAUAUAAAAGUUGAGAUUACAAUAUUGCAAUAAUAUAUUGUGGUAAUUUAUUAUUAAAUAAGAACUCAUUCUUGUUCGUCGUCCUAUAUUUGAAAAGGAACAAUUUCCUUCCUAACAGUGUAAUUUAUAAAUAAAAAAUAAUUUUAUAUAAUUUCCAGUAAUGUAAGCACCCUGAUUUGCACUAUGGGUGGACAACUGUUGUAGGUGAGAAGUUGGAAAAGUAGAGGGGAAAUUUAAUAUAUAUAUAUAUAUGUAUGCGAUGAAUAACAUUGCUAACGAAAAACGAUAAUGAGCGGAGUUCGGUUGUACAUGUUAUGAAAGGCCGUAAUACUUAAGAUUUUAAAAUAAUAAAUUUCGUAAAUUUUCCUGUUUUUCCUACGUUUUUUCCAUUUAUUAUGAAAACCUUUGGGAAAAUAAAUGACCUUCCAAAAAAUGCCUCUAGAAAACUUCCUUUUAGUAAAGGUGCUACACUUGAAAACCAGAGCAAGAUUUCUGGUAGAAAAGUUUUCGACAAAAAAUAAAAAUAAUAAACAUCAUUUUAAAAUCAAGAUGUAAAAUAAUGCAGUUUUUAAUGCCGUAAAAGUAUAAAUGUUUCCUAUUUAUUAUUAAAACCACUUAAAAAUUACAAAAGAACCACCUUAAUGUACCAAGUAGAUUCAAAAUACAACAAAAAAAGUAUCUUAUCAUUUUUUGAUUGGAGCAAGAUUUUUGGUGGAAAAGUUUACAGAUAGAAAAAAAGUAAGCACGCAUCAUAGUAAAAUAAAUACAUAUACCCCAACACUAAUUAAUUUUCUUUUAAAUAGGUGUAGUGCUGGUUUUGCGUUUAUUGUUU